GAACGGUAGCACAGGGGAGCUUGCUCCCCGGGUGACGAGUGGCGGACGGGGAGUAAUGUCUGGGGAUCUGCCCGAUGGAGGGGGAUAACUACUGGAAACGGUAGCUAAUACCGCAUAACCUCGAAAGAGCAAAGUGGGGGACCUUCGGGCCUCACACCAUCGGAUGAACCCAGAUGGGAUUAGCUAGUAGGUGGGGUAACGGCUCACCUAGGCGACGAUCCCUAGCUGGUCUGAGAGGAUGACCAGCCACACUGGAACUGAGACACGGUCCAGACUCCUACGGGAGGCAGCAGUGGGGAAUAUUGCACAAUGGGCGCAAGCCUGAUGCAGCCAUGCCGCGUGUAUGAAGAAGGCCUUCGGGUUGUAAAGUACUUUCAGCGGGGAGGAAGGGAUGAAGGUUAAUAACCUUCGUCAUUGACGUUACCCGCAGAAGAAGCACCGGCUAACUCCGUGCCAGCAGCCGCGGUAAUACGGAGGGUGCAAGCGUUAAUCGGAAUUACUGGGCGUAAAGCGCACGCAGGCGGUUUGUUAAGUCAGAUGUGAAAUCCCCGGGCUCAACCUGGGAACUGCAUUUGAAACUGGCAAGCUUGAGUCUCGUAGAGGGGGGUAGAAUUCCAGGUG
rnacentral:rRNA from 1 species